CCGAGGUAGAGUCCAGCAUCCACCCCUCUGAUGCUGACCAGACCCACUGCCAGGCUGAUGAACUCCAGGAUACCUGAGGUCUUUCACACCAUCUACGACGCAGAUAUGUAUAUAAGCACUAGAUGGCGAAAACGGGAGUCGACGGCGUUGCUAAACGGCGGCCAUCUCCGCUUGCAAUGGUAACAGCUGGAAGAAAUACUCCUUUGCUAAAUUGUGACGCUUGAGAGUCAACAUGCCUGACUUUUGUGCAGCCUGUGGAUGCCCAGAUCAGCGUUGUGAUAAAUCGAGACAACAUGGGAUCACCUUUCAUCUGAAACUGUUGCAAAGAAACCUGUACAUGUACAUUGUUCAAUGUGUUAAUUGUUUUUAUUUUACUAAAAUAAAACUGUUGUUCCAUUGCG